rnacentral:rRNA from 1 species
UACGUAGGGUCCGAGCGUUGUCCGGAGUUAUUGGGCGUAAAGCGCGCGCAGGCGGCUUGACGCGCCCGACGUGAAAGCCCCCGGCUUAACCGGGGAGGGUCGUCGGGUACGGUCAGGCUUGAGGGCGGGAGAGGGUGGUGGAAUUCCCGGUGUAGUGGUGAAAUGCGUAGAGAUCGGGAGGAACACCUGUGGCGAAGGCGGCCACCUGGGCCGACCCUGACGCUGAGGCGCGAAGGCGUGGGGAGCGAACGGG